CAUGUUCCCGGGACAGAUGCGCAGACCCUGGCGCAGAGAAAUCUUCCUCUUUUUCUUCUGCUCCAUCAGCUUCAUCAUACAGAUCUCUCUCACCACUCAGGGCGGAGUGUACCUCUUCCAGCUGAUUGACUACUAUGGUGCCAAUGGAAUAUGUAUAGUAUUUGUAUCUGCGGUCCAGUGUGUGGCUGUUGGCUGGGCCUUUGGGGCUGACCGGAUGUGUGACGCAGUGCAACUUAUGACAGGACAGAGGCCGUCGGGUUAUUUCAAACUGUGCUGGCGCUACUUCACCCCUCUGAUCUGCAUGGU